ACAGGUGUGAGCCACCGUGCCCGGCCAUUUCUGGUAAUUUCAUUUGAUCCUAUUAGAUCCUAUUGGUAUAUUAGAUAAGAGACCAGGUGAGAAGCUUCCCUAAUUAUUGUCCUAAAAUGGUUUCUGGAGAUCAAAGAUCCUGACACAGGUUAUCUUCUUCCUUCAUUGACCAAAAAAUAUAUAUUGCCACCUGCUAUGGCAGUGACACGAUGUUAAUUAUAGAAUUAGAAAUAAUACUCUAAAGGCCAGGCACAGUGGCUCAUGCCUGUAAUCCCAGAAAUUUGGGAUUUCUGCUGAGGUGGGCAGAUCACUUGAGGUCAGGAGUUCGAGACCAGCCUGGCCAACAUGGUGAACCCCAUUUCUACUAGAAAUACAAAAAUUAGCUGGGCGUUGUGGUGGGUGCCUGUAAUCCCAGCUAUUCAGGAGGCCGGGGCAGGAGAAUCACUUGAACCCGGGAGGGGGAAGUUGCAGUGAGCUGAGAUCACCCCAUUGCACUCCAGCCUGGGUGACAAAACGAGACUCUGACUCAAAAAAAAAAAAAAAGAAAGAAAGAAAUAAUACUCUAAGGUAUUAAGGGGAACACUUAAUACCUUAAUACAUUACCCUUAAUACAUUAAAGAUAAGAAGGGAACACUCUUCCCCUCACUUCGUGUUGUAGUUAUAGCAUUGAGUUCAUUGCCAUUGGGUAAGGCUUGUCAUAGCAGACAAUUUUAAAUAGGCUUUUUAAGCCUAUGGCAGAAUCAAUAUCUUAAAAGAAAAAUUUGUUUAUUUUUAGUCAAAAGAG
rnacentral:lncRNA from 1 species